UACGUAGGGGGCUAGCGUUGUCCGGAAUCAUUGGGCGUAAAGCGCGUGUAGGCGGUCCGGUAAGUCCGCUGUGAAAGUCGGGGGCUCAACCCUCGGAUGCCGGUGGAUACUGUCGGGCUUGAGUACGGAAGAGGCGAGUGGAAUUCCAGGUGUAGCGGUGAAAUGCGUAGAUAUCUGGAGGAACACCGGUGGCGAAGGCGGUUGCCUGGAGCUUUGCUGACGCUGAUGCGCGAAAGCGUGGGGAGCGAUCAGG
rnacentral:rRNA from 1 species